rnacentral:rRNA from 1 species
UCCAGACUCCUACGGGAGGCAGCAGUGGGGGAUAUUGCACAAUGGGGGGAACCCUGAUCCAGCGACGCCGCGUGAGUGAAGAAGUAUUUCGGUAUGUAAAGCUCUAUCAGCAGGGAAGAAAGAAAUGACGGUACCUGACUAAGAAGCCCCGGCUAACUACGUGCCAGCAGCCGCGGUAAUACGUAGGGGGCACGCGUUAUCCGGAUUUACUGGGUGUAAAGGGAGCGUAGACGGCCAGACAAGUCUGAAGUGAAAAUCCAGCGCGUAACGUUGGAAGUGCUUUGGAAACUGCCGGGCUAGAGUGCAGGAGGGGCGGGCGGAAUUCCUAGUGUAGCGGUGAAAUGCGUAGAUAUUAGGAGGAACACCAGUGGCGAAGGCGGCCUACUGGACGGUGACUGACGCUGAGGCUCGAAAGCGUGGGGAGCAAACAGGAUUAGAUACCCGAGUAAU